rnacentral:rRNA from 1 species
AUUGAACGCUGGCGGAAUGCUUUACACAUGCAAGUCGAACGGUAGAGGGGGCAACCCCUCGAGAGUGGCGAACGGGUGAGUAAUAUAUCGGAACGUGCCCAGUCGUGGGGGAUAACGUAGCGAAAGUUACGCUAAUACCGCAUACGAUCUAAGGAUGAAAGCGGGGGAUCGCAAGACCUCGCGCGAUUGGAGCGGCCGAUAUCAGAUUAGGUAGUUGGUGGGGUAAAGGCUCACCAAGCCAACGAUCUGUAGCUGGUCUGAGAGGACGACCAGCCACACGGGAACCUAGACACGGUCCAGACUCCUACGGGAGGCAGCAGUGGGGUAUUUUGGACAAUAGACGCAAGUCUGAUCCAGCCAUUCCGCGUGCAGGAUGAAGGCCCUCGGGUUGUAAACUGCUUUUGUACGGAACGAAAAGGUCUCUCUUAAUACGGGGGACUCAUGACGGUACCGUAAGAAUAAGCACCGGCUAACUACGUGCCAGCCGCCGCAGUAAUAC